rnacentral:rRNA from 1 species
ACAUCCAGCGAACUUGGCAGAGAUGCCUUGGUGCCUCGGAACGCUGAGACAGGUGCUGCAUGGCUGUCGUCAGCUCGUGUUGUGAAAUGUUGGGUUAAGUCCCGCAACGAGCGCAACCCUUAUCCUUUGUUGCCAGCGAUUCGGUCGGGAACUCAAAGGAGACUGCCGGUGAUAAACCGGAGGAAGGUGGGAUGACGUCAAGUCAUCAUGGCCCUUACGAGUAGGGCACACACGUGCUACAAUGGCGCAUACAAAGAGAAGCGACCUCGCGAGAGCAAGCGGACCUCAUAAAGUGCGUCGUAGUCCGGAUCGGAGUCUGCAACUCGACUCCGUGAAGUCGGAAUCGCUAGUAAUCGUGGAUCAGAAUGCCACGGUGAAUACGUUCCCGGGCCUUGUACACACCGCCCGUCACACCAUGGGAGUGGGUUGCAAAAGAAGUAGGUAGCUUAACCUUCGGGAGGGCGCUUACCACUUUGUGAUUCAUGACUGGGGUGAAGUCGUAACAAGGUAGGCGUAGCGAG